UCCUAGCCCUGAUCGCAGCAUUUGUUUGAGCUCAUUUUCUGGAUUUAUUUUUGCGGCGGCGAAGCCGCCGCAAAAAUAAAUCCAGAAAAUAACGAGUGUGGAGAGCAGGAAAUAGC
rnacentral:misc_RNA from 1 species